CAACAAAUUCCGCAGUGCUUUACAGUGGGUGGACGAACAAACAUGUAGUGUAACCAGACAAGUUGGACACCCAGGAACAGAGGGGUUGAGGGCCUUGCUCAAUGAGCUUACAUGCUAAAGGGAGUGGGGUAAAGUGACACAAAAGGUAAGGAUAGUAUUAGACUAAUGACCUUUGCAAGAGAGGAAUCAAUUAGGAAUAUUUGUAUUCAGAAAUGUCUCACGAGUACAACACUACCCCCCACAUACAG